rnacentral:rRNA from 1 species
UACGAAGGGGGCGAGCGUUAAUCGGAAUUACUGGGCGUAAAGCGUGCGCAGGCGGUUUUGUAAGCCAGAUGUGAAAGCCCCGGGCUUAACCUGGGAAUGGCAUUUGGGACUGCAAGGCUUGAGUGCGGCAGAGGAGACUGGAAUUCCUGGUGUAGCAGUGAAAUGCGUAGAUAUCAGGAGGAAUACCGAUGGCGAAGGCAGGUCUCUGGGCUGACACUGACGCUCAUGCACGAAAGCGUGGGGAGCAAACAGG